AACCUUUAGCCAAAACCCAGUAUUAAAGGCAACGCCUGCCCAGUGAACAAUUAAACGGCCGCGGUACCCUAACCGUGCAAAGGUAGCGUAAUCACCUGUCUAUUAAUUGUAGACCCGUAUGAAUGGCAAAAUGAGGGCCUAUCUGUCUCUUAUAGCAAAUCAAUUAAACUGAUCUCCCAGUCCAAAAGCUGGGAUAUGUACAUAAGACGAGAAGACCCUGUGAAGCUUAAACUAAACUAUUAAACCCAAUAAUAGCUACUUUCGGUUGGGGCGACCUUGGAAAAAAAAAGAACUUCCAAACUAGUGACCUACCUCACACCAAUUCAAACAGGCUGACAGGCCAUAACAUGACCCAGCUUAGCUGAUAAUUGAACCAAGUUACUCCAGGGAUAACAGCGCCAUCUUCUUCAAGAGCCCAUAUCAAAAAGAAGGUUUACGACCUCGAUGUUGGAUCAGGACAUCCUAAUGGUGCAGCCGCUAUUAAGGGUUCGUUUGUUCAACGAUUAACAGUCCC
rnacentral:rRNA from 1 species